rnacentral:rRNA from 1 species
AGCGAACGCUGGCGGCAGGCCUAACACAUGCAAGUCGAACGGAUCCUUCGGGAUUAGUGGCGGACGGGUGAGUAACACGUGGGAACGUGCCCUUUGGUUCGGGACAACUCAGGGAAACUUGAGCUAAUACCGGAUGUGCCCUUCGGGGGAAAGAUUUAUCGCCAUUGGAGCGGCCCGCGUCUGAUUAGCUAGUUGGUGAGGUAAAGGCUCACCAAGGCGACGAUCAGUAGCUGGUCUGAGAGGAUGAUCAGCCACAUUGGGACUGAGACACGGCCCAAACUCCUACGGGAGGCAGCAGUGGGGAAUCUUGCGCAAUGGGCGAAAGCCUGACGCAGCCAUGCCGCGUGAAUGAUGAAGGUCUUAGGAUUGUAAAGCUCUUUCAGUGGGGACGAUAAUGACGGUACCCACAGAAGAAGCCCCGGCUAACUUCGUGCCAGCAGCCGCAGUAACAC